rnacentral:rRNA from 1 species
ACUCAAAUGAAUUGACGGGGACCCGCACAAGCGGUGGAUGAUGUGGAUUAAUUCGAUGCAACGCGAACAACCUUACCUACCCUUGACAUGUCCUGAACCCUGCUGAGAGGUGGGGGUGCCCGAAAGGGAACGGGAACACAGGUGCUGCAUGGCUGUCGUCAGCUCGUGUCGUGAGAUGUUGGGUUAAGUCCCGCAACGAGCGCAACCCUUAUCAUUAGUUGCUACGCAAGGGCACUCUAAUGAGACUGCCGGUGACAAACCGGAGGAAGGUGGGGAUGACGUCAAGUCCUCAUGGCCCUUAUGGGUAGGGCUUCACACGUCAUACAAUGGACGGUACAGAGGGUUGCCAACCCGCGAGGGGGAGCCAAUCCCAGAAAGCCGUUCGUAGUCCGGAUUGCAGUCUGCAACUCGACUGCAUGAAGUCGGAAUCGCUAGUAAUCGCGGAUCAGCAUGUCGCGGUGAAUACGUUCCCGGGUCUUGUACACACCGCCCGU